UGGGGAAUAUUGCACAAUGGGGGAAACCCUGAUGCAGCGACGCCGCGUGAGCGAAGAAGGUUUUCGAAUCGUAAAGCUCUGUCCUAUGGGAAGAUAAUGACGGUACCAUAGGAGGAAGCCCCGGCUAACUACGUGCCAGCAGCCGCGGUAAUACGUAGGGGGCAAGCGUUGUCCGGAAUCACUGGGCGUAAAGGGUUCGCAGGCGGAAAUGCAAGUCAGUUGUGAAAGGCAGAGGCUCAACCUCUGUAAGCAAUUGAAACUGUAUUUCUUGAGAUGUGGAGAGGCAAGUGGAAUUCCUAGUAUAGCGGUGAAUUGCGUAGAUAUUAGGAAGAAUACCGGUGGCGAAGGCGACUUGCUGGACACAAACUGACGCUGAGGAACGAAAGCGUGGGUAGCAAACAGG
rnacentral:rRNA from 1 species